rnacentral:lncRNA from 1 species
GUAUAAUAAAAGUGAAAAAAAAAAGUUUAUUAUAUCACUAAAAAGUAAAAAUGAAAAAGAAGGUAAAAAUGGGUUAUUAAAAAAGUUUAACAUUUCAUGUAAUAAUAAAAAAAAGAAAGUAAAAAAAAAUGAUAGUAAUGACGAUAAUCAAGUAUAUUUAAAUAAAAUAUUUAUAAAAAAAAAAGUAAAUAAUAAAAAUCUUGUCCCAAUUGGUGAAAGUAUUGAAACAAGCAACAUAAAAAAUGAGUAUAUCAAAAAUAUAUUACAAAAAAACAAUAUAUAUAUUAUAUAUGUUUAUCAAUAUAAACUCUUAAAAUAUUUAUUAAAGCAUAACAAUCUGUUUAUUACUAUUCCAUACUCAGAUUGUAUGUUAUCGUAUAUUAUUUAUUCUUUUUAUAGAAUAAAAUUAACAACGUGUAAUAUACCAAAAAUAACAACUAAACUAGAAAAAAAUAAAGACAAUAUUAUAAGUGACCCAUUUUUAGAUGAUAUACAAAAUGACAAGCCAAAGAAAAACAAAACAAACAAACAAAUAUCGUAUACAGACAAUUCAAUUUUGUUUAUAACAACUUCACAAGAAGAAACUUCAGUUUUGUAUGAGACUAUCAUAAAAUUAAAAAAUCCAAACAUAUCAACAUACAUAAUAUAUAAUGAAAAUGGUAUUAAUAGUAUAAAAAAUAACUUUUUUUUAUAUAAUGUUAUAAUUUUAAAUCUAGAAUUUUUAAUGGAAGAAUGUGAUUUUAGUAUUUUAUUAGAUGGUGUAAGUUUUGUUGUCAUUGAUGAUAUAUAUGAAAUGUAUCAGAAAAAAAAAACAAAUUUAUUAAAAAAAAUUUUAUUAACAUAUAAAGAAAAACAAAAAAAAAAUAACGAGUUACAACUUUUGUUAAUAAAUAAAACAUAUGACGAAUGGAUAGUACAAGAAAUGUUUCAAUAUUUAAAAAGUAUAAAAUAUAAAAUUUAUAUUGAAAAUGAUAUACCUAUUCAGUUAUGUAUCGAACAAGAACAUGAGUGGGAUGAUGUUACAGGCACUGGUAACAGUAACGGGUUGAAUCGUGAUGUACACGGUAGUUUAUUCAAUAGUAUUGUCCCUAUUUUAUACUACAAUUUAAACGAAUGUAAAAAAAGUAGCUGUGAACACUUGAGCAUUAAUGCACCUUUAAACGAGGAUAAAAAGUUUUUAAUAUUAUUUUAUUUAUUAUGUACCAAUAAUAAUAAUAACAGAAAAAAAAAAGUUAUAAUUUUUUAUCAUAAAAAUGAUAUAUACGCAUUUUACAAUUUUGUGAAUUCGUAUAUACCAUGUUUAUUUUUAGAAAAUGCAUAUAAAGUAAAUUUAAAAAAAAGUAUUAUUAACACUUUUAAUAAAACCAAUGACUAUGUUCUUAUCACAAAUGAUAGAAACAUAAAAAUGUUAUACGAAGUAAAUGUACAGCUAAUUAUUCAUUACACAUUUGAUGGAAAUAUUAACUUUUAUUUUGAUAUAUUGUCUGGUAUAAAUGUCGAAACGAAGAGUGAUAAAAAGGACCUUACUUAUACUACAUCAAACAUAUGUGAUAAUAGCACAAAUCAACAUAUGAGUGCGAUUACAAACACAAAUCACCACCAUACUAGUUGCGAACCUGUCCAGUCUGUUUUAUUUUAUAAUAAAAAGCUGAGUAAACAGUACGAGGUACUGAAUAAGAUUGUAAAUUUUAGUAACUAUAUUUUACCUACACAAAGAGAAAUGAAAACCCUUUUUUUACAAUUUUUGAUAAACGAAAUUAGGAAUGUUGUUAUUGAAGAUGAACAUCUUAUAAAAGAAGCGAAAAACAUAUAUGAGAAAUACGAUUAUCAGUUUGUUUCAGCUGCUUUAUAUUAUAUACAAAAAAAAAAGUUAUACAAGAAAAACAUAAAAAAAAAAGAUUAUUUUAAUAUAACUUUUAUUGUUGAAAAAAAUAUUGUUUAUAAUACGAAACAAAAAGUAAUUGAAGUUUUAAAUGAUUUGUUAAAUUAUAAUAGAAACUAUGGUGAUAUAAAUUUUUUUAUGCAAAAUUACUUAUACAGUAAAAGAGGCUAUAUUAUGUCAAUUCCGGAAGAUAUAUAUAAUAUUAUACAUAAAAAUAAAAAUGUUAGUGAAAACAAGGACAAAUAUAAAACUAUGCAAAUGUAUAUUCUAUAUAAUAACUAUGAAAAAAAAUUCACUACAACUUAUGUCAAGAAAGGCAAAUAUAAAUCGAAAAGGUCUAUAAGACGGCUUAAAAAAAGGAUGAACAGAAAGAAAGAACAAAUCGAAAUAAAAAAGUUAAAAAACAAAAUGUCCUCUAUU